CGCCGGGCUAGCACCUGCCCGGACAACGGCGCCUGCGCGCGCCACCGCCAAGCGGGUCUGUUGCUACUGCCGCUGACCUCGCCGUCCUCAGCGGCCGGGCCGCACCGCACCGCCCUGCUCCGCACAGCGGGGAAUGCCGCAGCGGAGGGCGCCCGGAGGAGCGGAGCUACGGGCGAGAGGCUGGAGCGUGGCGCUGCUUGAAUGCCCAGGCAGGACCAAGUCAAUCGCAGGCGCGGCCAUGGCUAAGGCCGCCCCACCCCGUGGCCGAAUGGCGGGUGGAGCGCUCGGUAUUCUUCAUCCUUGCACAGCUCAGUUCUGGCACCUGGCAGAAGAAGCAUGUCUCCUGCUCUCCCUGCAGUACAUCGAGUAAGUCCCUAUCUCAACCUUCCUGGGCAGCCACUGGCAGGUCCCCUAUCUCAGACUGGAACUCAGACAGCCUUGGGUGUCUGAACAGACUUCAGAGCAACCUCAAAGCUGAGAGACACAAGAGAGGACCAACCAAGCCAGGUGUAAGCUGACCCUCACAAGAAGGAGACUGGUGGCUGUGCCUAAAUAGGAUACAUCUUUCAAGAGUAUUGCAUGGGAAGCCUCUGUAUUCUGGCUGAAAGUGCUGGGCAGUCAGCAGGGUGCUGGUGAACCUUCACUCCUUGGACUGAAAUGUUAAAAAUACCCCCAACAAGCAAUAAAGCC
rnacentral:lncRNA from 14 species